rnacentral:rRNA from 1 species
AGGGGCAGCAUGGUCUUAGCUUGCUAAGGCCGAUGGCGACCGGCGCACGGGUGAGUAACACGUAUCCAACCUGCCGUCUACUCUUGGACAGCCUUCUGAAAGGAAGAUUAAUACAAGAUGGCAUCAUGAGUCCGCAUGUUCACAUGAUUAAAGGUAUUCCGGUAGACGAUGGGGAUGCGUUCCAUUAGAUAGUAGGCGGGGUAACGGCCCACCUAGUCUUCGAUGGAUAGGGGUUCUGAGAGGAAGGUCCCCCACAUUGGAACUGAGACACGGUCCAAACUCCUACGGGAGGCAGCAGUGAGGAAUAUUGGUCAAUGGGCGAGAGCCUGAACCAGCCAAGUAGCGUGAAGGAUGACUGCCCUAUGGGUUGUAAACUUCUUUUAUAAAGGAAUAAAGUCGGGUAUGUAUACCCGUUUGCAUGUACUUUAUGAAUAAGGAUCGGCUAACUCCGUGCCAGCAGCCGCGGUAAUACGGAGGAUCCGAGCGUUAUCCGGAUUUAUUGGGUUUAAAGGGAGCGUAGAUGGAUGUUUAAGUCAGUUGUGAAAGUUUGCGGCUCAACCGUAAAAUUGCAGUUGAUACUGGAUAUCUUGAGUGCAGUUGAGGCAGGCGGAAUUCGUGGUGUAGCGGUGAAAUGCUUAGAUAU